GAUGAAGAACGUAGCGAAAUGCGAUAAGUAGUGUGAAUUGCAGACUUUAGUGAAUCAUCGAAUCUUUGAACGCACAUGGCGCCUUCCAGUAUCCUGGGAGGCAUGCCUGUCCGAGCGUCGUUUCAACCCUCGAGCCCCCGUGGCCCGGCGUUGGGGAUCUGCCCAGGCAGUCCCCGAAAACCAGUGGCGGACCCGUUACAGGCCCUUCCCUUGCGUAGUAGCAUUCGCCUCGCAUCGGGAGCCGGCGGGCUUCCAGCCUCUAAACCCCCAUCAAGUCCGCCCCGGCGGCACCAAGGUUGACCUCGGAUCAGGUAGGAAUACCCGCUGAACUUAAGCAUAUCAAUAAGCGGAGGA
rnacentral:misc_RNA from 1 species